GACGAUGAUCAUUACCCUUCAACUGGGUAUUCUAUUCCACUUCUACUUUUAAAUUAAAGGGUAUUCUGAAAGAGGUAUUUCUUUUAUUUUCACAAUAGCUUUCUUUUGAAUCCAUUUCAGUUCGAUUAGAAGGAUAGAAAAGGCGAUGAGAAUGGGAAAAAAAAAUAAAAUAUUUUAUUUUAAUGAGUUUCCCCUUUUGAGGUUCCCCUUUUUGCAAUUUUCUUAUUAUCAAUUCCAUUCAUUUAUUUUAUAGAAUACUUUUUUAUUCUAUAUAUCUAGAAAAAAUCUUUAUUUUGUAAACUAAAAAAUACAAUAGUCAAUAUCCUUAUAUAGAUAUACUUAAUUAUAUCAUAAAGAAUCUUAGAUAUAUUUCGAAUAGAUAGAAAUAGUAAAUUUGAAUUGAGACACAUAUUCUAUGACAGAUUUUAACUUACCCUCUAUUUUCGUACCUUUAGUAGGCUUAGUAUUUCCGGCAAUUGCAAUGACUUCCUUAUUUCUUUAUGUGCAGAAAAAUAAGAUUGUCUAGAAACGACGGGGCCAAAUUUUCUCAAUGUAUUUCCAGGAUCAUAAUACAGAUAUUUUUUUGUGUAAGUACUAUAAUAUGAUAGGGUAUGUAGCUCUUUCUACACACAAAUGAAAAACGUCUAUGGAUGCAGAUAUAAGCUACGAGCAUAAAUGCAUGCAUAUGCGUAGCCGACUAUAGCGAGUUUUUUUUUUUAAGUGGAUCCACUAAUUUUUUUUGAAUAGAAAGUCAAUGUAUCUAACCAAUUAUUUCACAGGAGUACUAGCUACUGAAGGCUAUUUCAGAAUCAAAAAAAGUAAAGUAAAAAUCAUUUAGCUUAUUCUCUCAAUUUCAAUUGACCGCUACUGGAUUUAGUAUAUCUAAUAUGAAUUGGCGAUCAGAACACAUAUGGAUAGAACUUCUAAAAGGUUCUCGAAAAAGAGGUAAUUUUUUCUGGGCCUGUAUUCUUUUUCUAGGUUCAUUAGGAUUCUUAGCGGUUGGGGCUUCCAGUUAUCUUGGUAAGAAUAUGAUAUCUGUACUUCCAUCUCAACAAAUUCUUUUUUUUCCACAGGGGGUCGUGAUGUCUUUCUACGGAAUCGCGGGCCUAUUCAUUAGCUCCUAUUUGUGGUGCACUAUUUUAUGGAAUGUAGGCAGUGGUUAUGACCGAUUCGAUAGAAAAGAGGGAAUAGUGUGCAUUUUUCGUUGGGGAUUCCCUGGAAUAAAACGUCGCAUCUUCCUUCAAUUCCUUGUGCGGGAUAUCCAAUCAAUUAGAAUUCAGGUUAAAGAGGGUCUUUAUCCUCGUCGUAUCCUUUAUAUGGAAAUCCGGGGCCAGGGGGUCAUUCCCUUGACUCGUACUGAUGAGAAGUUUUUUACUCCACGAGAAAUUGAACAAAAAGCUGCCGAAUUGGCCUAUUUCUUGCGUGUACCAAUUGAAGUAUUUUGAGUACCAAUUGCAAUUUUUUGCAAUUGUAAGGGGAUUUUCGAGUAUUUAUCUAAAGUAAAGGAAGGAACAAACGAGGAUAAGAGAAAAUUGCUUCGAAUUUGUUUUGUCCAAGUGAGAUAUAUGGCAUACUAUUCUUCCAUUUUUAUACGAAAGGCCUUUUUUUAUUUCUCUAUUCCACUCCAUUUAGAUCUAAGAAAGAACCCAAUACAAUGAAAUUCCACUAGUAUACAAAAAGAGAAAUAGAUACAAACACAAGGUCUCAAACCUUGUUAUAGAAUUUUUGCUUCAAAGAAAAGAAAUAUCAUAUAUAUUCAGCUUACAGAUCAAAAAUGAAAAAAAGAAAGCAUUGCCUUCUUUCUUAUAUCUUGUAUUUAUCGUACUUUUGCCCUGGGGAGUCUCUUUCUCUUUUAACAAAUGUCUGGAACUUUGGAUUAAGAAUUGGUGGAAUACCAGGCAAUCCGAAACUUUCUUAACUGAUAUUCAAGAGAAAAGGAUUCUAGAAGGAUUCAUAGAAUUAGAGGAACUUUUUCUCUUGGACGAAAUGAUAAAAGAGAAACCGAAGACACAUGUACAAAAACUUCCUAUAGGAAUACACAAGGAAAUAAUACAAUUGGCCAAAAUAGAUAAUGAGGAUCAUCUCCAUAUCAUUUUGCAUUUCUCAACAAAUAUAAUCUGUUUGGCUAUUCUAAGUGGUUCUUUUUUUCUGGGUAAAGAAGAACUUGUCAUUUUGAAUUCUUGGGUUCAGGAAUUUUUCUAUAACUUAAAUGAUUCAAUAAAAGCUUUUUUUAUUCUUUUAGUUACUGAUUUUUUUGUUGGAUUUCACUCUACCCGCGGUUGGGAACUACUAAUUCGUUGGGUCUACAACAAUCUUGGAUGGGCUCCUAACGAGCUAAUUUUCACUAUUUUUGUUUGUAGUUUUCCUGUGAUUCUAGACACGUGUUUGAAAUUUUGGGUCUUUUUUUGUUUAAACCGUCUAUCUCCUUCACUUGUAGUCAUUUAUCAUUCAAUUAGUGAAGCAUAAACUCACUCAUUUCAUUUCCUAAUAUUAAUCAAAUUAGCAUAUUUCUUUUCUUCCUUUAGAAAUAGAAAGAAAGCCCUUUUCCUUUUUAACAAAAUUCUUUCUAUUUCUACCUGCUCAAGGUAUUCAUCAUUCUAGUACAACUAUUGCAGUAGAAUGACAACAGACUCGUGUAUAGGGAACUAGAUUAGCUUAGCUACCUAUCUAAUUUAUUGUAGAAAUUCCGGGAUCCGCGAUUGGACAUGGAAAAUAGAAAAACUUUUUCUUGGUUAAAGGAACAGAUGAUUCGAUCGAUUUCUGUAUCGAUCAUGAUAUACGUAAUAACUCGCACAUCUAUUUCAAACGCAUAUCCCAUUUUUGCGCAGCAGGGUUAUGAAAACCCGCGGGAAGCAACUGGACGAAUUGUAUGUGCCAAUUGCCAUUUAGCUAAUAAGCCUGUGGAUAUUGAAGUUCCCCAAGCAGUGCUUCCUGAUACUGUAUUUGAAGCAGUUCUUCGAAUUCCUUAUGAUAUGCAGCUGAAACAAGUUCUUGCUAAUGGUAAAAAGGGAGGGUUGAAUGUGGGUGCUGUUCUUAUUUUGCCCGAGGGAUUCGAAUUAGCGCCGCCCGACCGUAUUUCUCCUGAGUUGAAAGAAAAGAUAGGAAAUCUCUCUUUUCAGAGUUAUCGUCCCAAUAAAAAAAAUAUUCUUGUGAUAGGCCCUGUUCCCGGUAAGAAAUAUAGUGAAAUUGUCUUUCCCAUUCUUUCCCCCGAUCCCGCUACAAAAAAAGACGUUCAUUUCUUAAAAUAUCCCAUAUAUGUAGGGGGAAACCGAGGAAGGGGACAGAUCUAUCCUGACGGUAGCAAGAGUAACAAUACGGUCUAUAAUGCUACGUCAACAGGUAUAGUAAAAAAAAUACUACGUAAAGAAAAGGGGGGAUAUGAAAUAUCCAUAGUGGAUGCAUCGGAUGGACGCCAAGUGAUUGAUAUUAUACCUCCCGGGCCAGAACUUCUUGUUUCAGAGGGGGAAUCAAUCAAGCUUGAUCAACCAUUAACAAGCAAUCCUAAUGUAGGAGGGUUUGGUCAGGGGGAUGCAGAAAUAGUGCUUCAGGAUCCAUUGCGCGUCCAAGGCCUUUUGUUUUUCUUCGCAUCUGUUAUUUUGGCACAAGUUUUUUUGGUUCUCAAAAAGAAACAGUUUGAAAAGGUUCAAUUGUACGAAAUGAAUUUCUAGAUCCUGGGAUUUCUUACCAUCAAGUGAGAAAAAAGCCUCGAUUUCUGGAAUUCCUUAUUUCUAUCUCAUGCAAAAGAAGAGGAUCCAAGGCAAAGACGAGAACAAUAAAAGGAACAAGUCCUUUUAGGAGGAAUUGUGGGUCUUCUUAAUCCUCUAUUGGGCACAAGAAAAAGGCUUUUUUGCCUUUUUCUUGUGUCGAUUCUUCUUGUAUCGAAGUUCGGGCGCGGUAGUGGACAAACAGAGGGAAAGAAGGUAUGGCGGGGGACACAUUUCUUGUGAGCAAAUAGAAUUGCUUUACUUUUUGAAUUAAGUUCAACUUUGAACUUACAGAAAUUUUGUAAAAAAAAAUCUAUACCCUCCCAUGGAAGGGUGGUUUUGAUUUUUAGGCUAGUUGAGUAGUUUUGAUUAAGGUUUUAUUAGUUUAUUACUCUAAACUAAAUCAACGAUUUGCAGGAUACUUCCUUCAUGGAAUAAAAUACUGGAUCCUCUCCCCUCUUUCUUGUUGCUUCAUAAGAGUGAAUCCAUUUUAUGGGCGAAAGGCGGGGGCUUUAAAUCGACCGAUGGAUUGCUUCACUCACUAACAUCAUUAACAAACAAAAGAAUAAAUGGAGGGAUUCCAACCAUCAGAGCAAAGGUUUUCUCUUUGUUAUUUUUACAAAUAGAAAUAGGUAACCAAUUUCUAGAUUAUGGAACAAAACCGCGUUAUAACAAUAAGAAUUCCGCGGGCCCUUUCCGCUCUAAUCAGAUAAAGGGGAGUAAGGACCCGCUAAGUUCCUACUUUUUCAUGUUUACAAUCUGGAUCCUCCGAUUACUAUAGAGAUGAACCCAAUCCAGAAUACGAACCGUAAAAGAAAACACCUAUUAAACCAAUCACAAGAAUACCAGUUACAGUACCUAUCAGCCAAAGAGGAAUUCUUCCAGUAGUAUCGGCCAUUUCCCCUACUUUCCUCCACAUUUUCUCAAGUGGUCAUGCUAGAGACAAAAACAGUCAUGGAUAGUUAUAAAGAUGGUAUCCUUCCAAAUGGGAUAAGAGAAUUCUUACUACUCUCUUUCUUUCUCUCAAUUGAAGAAGUAAUUGGAAAAUAAAACAGCAAGUACAAAAAUGAGUAAUAAACCCCAGUAUAGACUGGUACGAUUCAAUUCAACAUUUUGUUCAUUCGGGUUUGAUUGUGUCAUAGUUCUAUAGUUGGAAUUUGGUUUAUCGUUGGAUGAACUGCAUUGCUGAUAUUGAUCCCAAGAAAAAAACCGUGGGUACAGCUAAUCCGUGAACAGCCAGCCAUCGCACUGUAAAAAUAGGAUAGGUUCGAUCUAUGGUCAUUGGGGGCCUCCUAAAAGGAUCUACUAAAUUCAUCUAGUUGUUCUAAAGAAUCAAAACGGUCGGUUAUUAAUGGAAUUCCUUGUCGGCUUUCCGUGAAAUACUCGUUUGGUCGAGGACUUCCAAACACGUCAUAAGCUAAACCCGUACUGACAAAUAACCAACCCGCAAUGAAUAGGGAAGGUAUAGUAAUGCUAUGAAUAACCCAGUAUCGAAUACUGGUAAUAAUAUCAGCAAAAGAACGUUCUCCCGUGCUUCCAGACAUGCUGAGCUCCCAAAAUUUUUAUUCAAAAAAGGAAUUGAUUCCGUAAAAGAUGGGAUCCACCAGUAAAUAGAAAAUUACUGAUAUUUCAUCCUUGUGAGAUUGUCAAUUUUGUACCAAAGGUGUAUUUUGAGUAUACCGAAUUAGUAUAGCUAUCCUUCCUAUGGCACAGCAAUCCAGUUUUGCUUGGUCCCGAAACAGAAUUCCUUUUUUCUCUUUUUUGUUCCUUGUCUAUAGGAAAAUUACAUGUUAUUCAAGGCAUCAAUAGAACCCCACAAUUUUUUGGGUCCUACUUAUUUUCAUUGUCUUCGGAAUAGUAGAAUAAUUUAAUUUGGAAUAGCGGCCAAGAUCUUGGGAAAAUCUAAGUUAAUGAUUAAUAAGAUAAAGAAUUUAGGAAGGAUAUUCUCAUAUUGACGCAAUACAAAGAUAAGUAUAUGCAAAAUCGAUCCCUUUUUAGUUAAAGGAAUUUAAUUGGUUAGCAUAAAAUAAUAUCUAAUAAAUAGAAAAUCGAAUAGCGGAUAAUCCGUUAUGAAAGAAACGGAAUACAUUCUUUGAAGAAUCAAGAUUCGUAAUCAAUCCUUGUCUUGUUUGUUGGAUUAGGUCUAAUUUUCUUGACCAAACAGCAAGCAUGGAACUUUACAAGAAGAACUUAAAAGAAAAGGAUAAUUGAAGUAACUUUGAAUCCACUUUUGUUGGGGUUCAAAAAACGAAUAAAAAUAAAUAAAAAAAAGUAAAUUUUAGGAAUAGUUCCCUUUUUGAGGGGGCCCCUCGGGGGUCGUGGAAUGCUUUUCUUCUCCUCUUAUUCCAUAUGGAAUACAAUGAGUUAAAAUUUGCUCCAAAAAGAGGAUGAAAUCCAUCCUAUUAAAAAAGAAAUAAUCCGAAUCCGAAAUAGAAAGAAUUUUUUUUUUUUUUUCAAAUUCAAUUCUUUAUUUAUCUUUUAUUCCAAAAUUCUCCCGAAAAUCCAAUUUCAUUUUUCAAUGGGGUUAGAUGAUCUAGUUCUUAAUAUUAUUAGUUUACUUAACUGACAGAUUCCACAACAAAUCUCUUGAUUCGGAAUUAGGGACUCAUGUUCCGUCUGAUGAAUCGAUUUUCUCUUUUUUUUACACUUCUGUAUCUCACUCUAUCUUGUUUUUUAGUAUUAUCUAAAAUAACCGAUGAAUUAUGAAUUUUCCAUAACUUAAACUUAGGUAAGUGCUUUACCAACAUAUGUAGUGUAGUAAAAAAAAUGGAAUUGAACCCCUUCAUGCUUACUAUAACUAGUUAUUUCGGUUUUCUACUGGCUGCUUUAACUAUAACCCCAGCUCUAUUUAUUAGCUUGAACAAGAUACGUCUUAUUUGAAAUGAAUUGAAUAGAAGAAUCUUUCUUUUGGAUUCUUGGUAUUCUAGACUCUUUUCCACACUAAUUACCAAUUCUUUUCUUGGUCAUUGAGAUUCGUGGGUAGUUUAGACUAUUAUUUAGAGAUAGAUCGUACCUCUUUUUUUAUCCCCUCGAACAAAUCGAAAUGAUUGAAGUUUUUCUAUUUGGAAUCGUCUUAGGCCUAAUUCCUAUUACUUUAGCGGGAUUAUUCGUGACUGCGUAUUUGCAAUACAGGCGUGGGGAUCAGUUGGAUCUUUGAUUGAGUAAUAUUUCUUUUUUGAUUGACCUCCUCUCUGGUCUGGAGGAGGUCAAAUUGGAGUUGCAAUUCUACUUUGUUUUUUUUUAAGUUAUUUUAGUUUCGACAUAAGAUAUAUGGAAUCACGCUCUGUAGGAUUUGAACCUACGACAUCGGGUUUUGGAGACCCGCGUUCUACCAAACUGAACUAAGAGCGCUUUCAAAACAAAAAAAAAAAGAAAAUCCUUUUCUAUUCCUAACGUGUCUCACGUCCGUAUAGUAUCCACAAAUUCAAGUUAUACCCACUUUAAUCGAUCUCCCCACUACUGCCCAUAACGAAGAGAGAAUUAAUAGGUAGGGAUGACAGGAUUUGAACCUGUGACAUUUUGUACCCAAAACAAACGCGCUACCAAGCUGCGCUACAUCCCUUUUCCAAAUUGUUGUACAAUGCCAUUGUACACAAUUCCUUUCUUGUUUUCCACAUCGUAAUUUUCUUCUAUUUCUUUAUCCAUAUAGAACUUUCUUGUCAUUUCUUGUUUUUGGUCUCAUAUAAUCAAGGAAGGGGUAUAAACUAAAAUCCAGUCAAAUUUCACCUAUAAAAGAAAGACUACUAUUCCUUAGUAAUGUAUAGGAAGAAGGGGUCAUCUUUUUUAGGGAUAGGAAAAUCUCGUCUAUACGGUUCAUUCUAUAUAUAUAUAAUAUUUAUUUUGUUUUUUUAGUUAGGAAUUUCGCCUAAACAAAAGAAAUACAAAGGAUCUUGGGCAAGAGUAUCUGAUCAUAUAUGUAUUCCAAUACGGAAGGAGGAUUUUCAAUGCGGGAUAUAAAAACAUAUCUCUCUGUAGCACCCGUGCUAAGUACUCUAUGGUUUGGGGCUUUAGCAGGUUUAUUGAUAGAAAUCAAUCGUUUAUUCCCAGAUGCUUUGUCAUUCCCUUUUUUUUAAUUCUAGUUAUUCCUAUGCGAGAGAUAGAAUUCUUCGUGACAUGACGAAAAUUUCCCCUUUUUGAAUUCUUUUUUAGUAUAUGAAGCAAAAA